GUGCCAGCAGCCGCGGUAAUACGUAGGUGACAAGCGUUGUCCGGAUUUACUGGGUGUAAAGGGCGCGUAGGCGGAUAAGCAAGUCAGUCGUGAAAUACCGGAGCUCAACUCCGGGGCUGCGAUUGAAACUGUUUACCUUGAGUAUCGGAGAGGAAAGCGGAAUUCCUAGUGUAGCGGUGAAAUGCGUAGAUAUUAGGAGGAACACCAGUGGCGAAGGCGGCUUUCUGGACGACAACUGACGCUGAGGCGCGAAAGUGUGGGGAGCAAACAGGAUUAGAUACCCUGGUAGUCCACACCGUAAACGAUGGAUACUAGGUGUAGGAGGUAUCGACCCCUUCUGUGCCGCAGUUAACACAAUAAGUAUCCCACCUGGGGAGUACGACCGCAAGGUUGAAACUCAAAGGAAUUGACGGGGGCCCGCACAAGCAGUGGAGUAUGUGGUUUAAUUCGAAGCAACGCGAAGAACCUUACCUGGUCUUGACAUCCCGAUGACCGCUCUAGAGAUAGAGCUUCUCUUCGGAGCAUUGGUGACAGGUGGUGCAUGGUUGUCGUCAGCUCGUGUCGUGAGAUGUUGGGUUAAGUCCCGCAACGAGCGCAACCCCUAUUGUCAGUUGCCAUCAUUUAGUUGGGCACUCUGGCGAGACUGCCGGUGACAAAUCGGAGGAAGGUGGGGACGACGUCAAAUCAUCAUGCCCCUUAUGACCAGGGCUACACACGUACUACAAUGGCCGAUAACAAAGUGCAGCAAAACCGUGAGGUGGAGCGAAUCACAAAACUCGGUCUCAGUUCAGAUUGCAGGCUGCAACUCGCCUGCAUGAAGUUGGAAUUGCUAGUAAUCGCGAAUCAGAAUGUCGCGGUGAAUACGUUCCCGGGCCUUGUACACACCGCCCU
rnacentral:rRNA from 1 species